rnacentral:rRNA from 2 species
UGGACAGGCCGCGCUCACACAUUUUUAUCACGGGGCCCCCCCGUUGUUUGCGGACGGCCUGAGUAACACGUGGGCAACCUGCCUGUAAGACUGGGAUAACACCGGGAAACCGGUGCUAAUACCGGAUAAUCCUUUUCCUCUCAUGAGGAAAAGCUGAAAGUCGGUUUCGGCUGACACUUACAGAUGGGCCCGCGGCGCAUUAGCUAGUUGGUGAGGUAACGGCUCACCAAGGCGACGAUGCGUAGCCGACCUGAGAGGGUGAUCGGCCACACUGGGACUGAGACACGGCCCAGACUCCUACGGGAGGCAGCAGUAGGGAAUCUUCCACAAUGGACGAAAGUCUGAUGGAGCAACGCCGCGUGAGCGAUGAAGGCCUUCGGGUCGUAAAGCUCUGUUGUUAGGGAAGAACAAGUACCGGAGUAACUGCCGGUACCUUGACGGUACCUAACCAGAAAGCCACGGCUAACUACGUGCCAGCAGCCGCGGUAAUACGUAGGUGGCAAGCGUUGUCCGGAAUUAUUGGGCGUAAAGCGCGCGCAGGCGGUCCUUUAAGUCUGAUGUGAAAGCCCACGGCUCAACCGUGGAGGGUCAUUGGAAACUGGGGGACUUGAGUGCAGAAGAGGAAAGCGGAAUUCCACGUGUAGCGGUGAAAUGCGUAGAGAUGUGGAGGAACACCAGUGGCGAAGGCGGCUUUCUGGUCUGUAACUGACGCUGAGGCGCGAAAGCGUGGGGAGCAAACAGGAUUAGAUACCCUGGUAGUCCACGCCGUAAACGAUGAGUGCUAAGUGUUAGAGGGUUUCCGCCCUUUAGUGCUGCAGCUAACGCAUUAAGCACUCCGCCUGGGGAGUACGGCCGCAAGGCUGAAACUCAAAGGAAUUGACGGGGGCCCGCACAAGGCGGUGGAGCAUGUGGGUUUAAUUCGAAGCAACGCGAAGAACCUUACCAGGUCUUGACAUCCUCUGACCACUCCUAGAGAUAGAAUUUCCCCUUCGGGGGACGAAUGACAGGUGGUGCAUGGUUGUCGUCAGCUCGUGUCGUGAGAUGUUGGGUUAAGUCCCGCCAACGAGCGCAACCCUUGAAUCUUAGUUGCCAGUAUCAGUGGCACUCUUAAGGGUGACUGGCCCGGCUGGACAAACCCGGAGGAAGGGUGGGAUGACAGUACAAAUCAUCCUAUGCCCCUAUGAACUUGGCUAACCCACGUGCUCAAUGGAUGGGUCAAGGCAGCAAGGCGCUGAGAGCCAUACCACAAUCCUCGUGGGC